GACGAACGCUGGCGGCGUGCUUAACACAUGCAAGUCGAACGGAAAGGCCCUGCUUUUGUGGGGUGCUCGAGUGGCGAACGGGUGAGUAACACGUGAGUAACCUGCCCUUGACUUUGGGAUAACUUCAGGAAACAGGGGCUAAUACCGGAUAGGAGCUCCUGCUGCAUGGUGGGGGUUGGAAAGUUUCGGCGGUUGGGGAUGGACUCGCGGCUUAUCAGCUUGUUGGUGGGGUAGUGGCUUACCAAGGCUUUGACGGGUAGCCGGCCUUAGAGGGUGACCGGCCACAUUGGGACUGAGAUACGGCCCAGACUCCUACGGUAGGCAGCAGUGGGGAAUAUUGCACAAUGGGCGGAAGCCUGAUGCAGCAACGCCGCGUGCGGGAUGACGGCCUUCGGGUUGUAAACCGCUUUCGCCUGUGACGAAGCGUGAGUGACGGUAAUGGGUAAAGAAGCACCGGCUAACUACGUG
rnacentral:rRNA from 1 species